GCUGAUUCGAAACCAUUGCACUGGUCAGAUCUGUUGUUACUCAAACUUGUAGGAAAACUUCAGAGUUCGAGCACCUCUUUUUUUAAACAUUUUGUUAUGUUAUUGAGAUGGAAGCAGAUAUGAAGGAGCGAGGGAGACAUAGAGAGGAGGACUCAGGGAUUGAACCCCUGCCACUAGGACCCAUCUCGAGGCAACACUAUGCUACCACUAGAUCAGACUAAAACACAUCCUGGAACAGAUGAAGUCACUAUUCUAGAACCUGCCCAGAGCAACACAUGAAGGAAAAUCAAGCAGCGGAGGCGUAAGCAGUGGAGGCUUCAGAAGCGGAGGCACCAGCCGUGGAGGCGUCAGCAGCAGGAGCAGAGGGGUCAGCAGCGGAGGGACCAGCAACGGAGGCGUCAGCAGCAGGAGCAGAUGGGUCAGCAGCAGGAGCAGAGGGAUCAGCAGCAGGAGCAGAGGGGUCAGCAGCAGGAGCAGAGGGAUCAGCAGCAGGAGCAGAGGGGUCAGCAGCAGGAGCAGAGCGGUCAGCAGCAGGAGCAGAGGGGUCAGCAGCAGGAGCAGAGGGAUCAGCAGCAGGAGCAGAGGGGUCAGCAGCAGGAGCAGAGGGGUCAGCAGCAGGAGCAGAGGGGUCAGCAUAUACCUCCUACCUGUGAUUUGUGUCUGAAUAAUGACAAGAAGACUUACAUAGUCUUCAAACCCUGUGGUCACCGGCUGUGUUUGGAGUGUGUUCACAUGUUACCUCCUGGAACUGAGUAUCUCAACUGUUCAUACUGCCUUAAGUUUGUUCAAGGCUUUGAUUUCCCAGGUCUGUAGUGACGACUCAAGCACUGCGAUGCAGUGACAUAGAACAGUGCCCCACUCUGGAAGCCCCAAUGCAUACCUUUUAACAAUUUUUUUCAUACUAGUACCACAUGGGAAUCAAACCUCUUAAAGGGGCAAUCUGUGUCUGCAAUAAAUAUAAAGAGAGUUACACACGCUAUAUAAAUGUACCAGUAAUCUAUUGGAUAAACCACCGUUUCAGCAUCACUGUGUCUUCUUCAGGGUGAUGUCAUGAAUGUGUGAACCAGGUUAUGUAGACAAACAGUGCAAUUAGUGCAACCAAUGACAAUAGAGAGGAGUGUGUCAUAGUAAUUAGGGUUGUAAUUAGGGUGAUGAGGAUGACAAAGUGAAUCUGUUAAAAGACAAUAGUUUACAGCAUGUUGAAUUUCUCAGGCUGUUGUUUUCAAUAUCAUAUUGCUACAUAUUGUACAUAGUAUUAACCUCAACAUACAAUAUUAUUUCAUUUAAUAUACAGUAUUUCAUUGUUUCCUUUUCACUUAAUCUUUGUAACACGUAAUCUUUUGGUUCAAACAUAAAGCAUAACAAGCAUCAUCAACGAAGGGAACAUCUUGGGCGCACGCUGAUAAACUGUGGACAUAAUAUGUUAAUUUAAAAGACUAAUCUGUGGAAAUAAUAUGUUAAUUUAGAAAUGUAUAAAAAGAGCAUGAGAUCAAAGUAAAUAUUCAGACCAUUAACCCCUUUAGUUAACCCUUUUUC
rnacentral:lncRNA from 1 species